GGUUGGAGCUAAACUCUUCUGGAAACCGGCCCUCCAGGACCGAGUUUGGACACCCCUGCUGUAACCAACAAGUGGCUGAUGUGGCGGCGAUGGGGCAUCUUGAUGAUAACAUCAAUAGCAAAAACGGCUUCUGGUGCUGCACCGUAUGUAACUGAGCUGGCUGAGGCAAUAUGUUAAUUGGGGUUGGAGCUAAACUCUUCUGGACACCGGCCCUCCAGGACCGAGUUUGGACACCCCUGCUGUAACCAACAAGUGGCUGAUGUGGUGGCGAUGGGGCAUCUUGAUGACACGACACUGCUGACUCGGCAAAUACAGAUUGAAUGCACACUGGAAAGUUGACAGAUUAGCGUUGUUUAAUCUACAAGAAAUAGACGCUGAAAUGCGACACCUUCUGCUACGACUGUCUUGUUAUUUUGGAAUGGCAUGAAAAUAUAACUUUCGAGGACUGCACCGACUAACGACUAAAACAAAGCCCUGGCUGAAGCGAUGCCAAGAACUGAUGCGAGUAUUUUUCAUCGUAACUGCUGUGGCAGGCUGUCUGUGACAGUGUUGAUGAAUCUUCGUAGCUGGAAAUACUUCCGUUCAAGCGUUUUUCUGCAAUGGACAUACAUAAAUGGACCGUUAGCCUGAUGCUGAGGGAAGUUUUCAUUCGGUUUUACCUGCAACACGCAGCAGUCUGGCCAGGCUGAGGAGGAGAGUGGACUGUCUGUAGGCAGUAGGGCACUGAGAGAUGCACUCCUUUAUCAAUGAUAGACGAUCCGUCCGCAGACGCACUGCAGAGACAAAGAGGAAAUGAGAGAAAAGAACAAAACAAAGACUAAAAGUUAAGAUCUAGCAGAAAUGCAGUAUAAACAGACUAGAAUAGCCAAAAUGUGAAGCAACAAUCUGGUAAACUGCAUAAUUUGUCACAUGAAUAUAUAUUUACACAAAAACACACUGACAGUUGGAGACUUUAUUUUUCACAUGGCCAUAUAUUUAGACAGA